UAAUGGAGCACCUAUAAGAAUUUAAAGGAGGAAGGGAAAAAGCAGAUAUCCUAUAAGCUUCUGAGAGAAAAAAACAACAACGAUUACGUACAAAGUUUCAUGACACAAUAUCUUUUGGAUUAUCAACAAUAACGCAGGAAGCUAAGGGAUUAUAGAGAAAUGCCUUAAAAAUUCUGAUGGAAAUGAUUUCCAAUCUUGAAUUUUAUAACCGUGGAAGCUAUUAUUCAAGUGUGAGAGUAGAAUAAAUAUAUUUUCCGACAUACGAAGCAUAAAAAGUUUUCCUCAUAUGCACUGUUUCUCAGGAGGAUUAAGUUUUAAUUCUUGUAGAACUCUAUGAAGUUGUUUGAGCAACAGUUAUUGAGGAACUAGCAUGCACCCAGCACAAUGGGGGGCCAGGGAAAUAAAAGAAAAAAAAGAUGAACCAUCUGUAGACCCGCACCCCAGCUCAUGUCUCCCGAAGAACAAAGACAGGUAAAUAGUUAACUACCGGCAUGGGCAUAAAUACUGCAACAGAACUGGACUUGAUCGGGCACAUUCCCGGCCAGGGGUGGUAGAGAAAUCAGGGUGCUUGCUGGCAUCUGUUGGGUGGAGGUUUGGGUCUCAGGAAGGAGGAAGGAAUGAGGAGAAAUCUGAACGUCAGCAAAGGCUGACUGGGGCACCUGCGCAGCUGACCGAGCUGCAUCUUCAUUUAGGUCCAGAGUGGAUGUGACAGAGAUGAGGGGGAUUGGGUGUCUCUUGGUGAAGGAAGUUGCCCAUAAACCAGAGAGCGAGAGGAACAAGCAUCCUCCAUGCCACCUCCUCAUGUAACCCAACUCCGUAAAUCUCUGCUCCCCGCCGCACCCUCCUCGCCCUCGCACUCACCCUUGGUGGCCCCUGCCUCCUGCGGGCUCAGGAGGGUCAUCAGGGUGUGGAACCCCAGGACCAGCCCUGCUCUGAGGGCCAUUACACUCUGGUGCUUUAAUCAAAUCAGUCUCAGUCCGUGUGGUGAGGACAGGAACAAGGCGGAGGUAAAGAAGAAGAAAACAGAUUCGAGGAUGGGGGCGACCCCUGCUGUCUUCAGCCAAUCACAGAAAUUCUCUGAGUGAAUGUAUCUGUUGCUGGGUAAAGAGGGAAAGAGCCGGGGUGAGAAGGUGGAAGGAUUCACUGGGCCCCCAGGAGAGGCCAGAGGAAGUUUUGGAGGAUGGGAGGGGCUUGGACCAACUAUUACCACGUCCUCCAAGAAGGGACCCCCUGAAGAGAGAGAAAAGGCCGUCAGAGCACCGCGCAGCUGAGCUCCAACAAAUCCUCUCUCUAUGUCCAUCUGCGAUGCAGGGAAUCCUACUUUCCCAAGAAGUUUCCGUGGACAAAUUUUGAGUUAGAAAGUAAAAUAAACUUUACCAAUAAUCUUUAAAAGGAAAACAUUGGCUACACAAUGGAAUAAAAACCUCUUAAAACUUUAAAUCACUUUCAAAAAUGUUAUUUUAUUUUUCUUUUAUUAUUAUUUAAUUUCAUUGUGUAAGAAAAAAUGUGUAAUUGUUGGAGUUGUUUGGUCUAAAGCAAAGUGUAAAGAGCUCCCGUGGACUCCCCGAGGAGGGCAGAGGUGCUGGUCCUCUCUGUUGGUCCCUCCAGGACCCGGGCACCUCCUCCAGGCUGACACAGGCUGGAGGACGGCAUCACCCUUGCCUUUGGCUUCUGGUUGGGCUCGGCUAAUAAGAGGCACUGGGAGAAUUUAGUCCAGUAUAUAUAUUUAAAAAACAAAACAAAACAAAACAACAACAACGUAAAGCUAACGUCUGUGUAAAGAGAAAUCUAACCAAAUUAGGCCAUGUGUCAAAGACCAUGAAAUCGAUGAUUUUCAACUUGGAGGGAGCUAGGAAAUCAUGCGGGUCUCUGGUUCCAAAUGAGAAUCACCUGGGGGGUUCGUUAUAAUACGUGUUCCUGAGUUUCCUCUUUACUUAAUGGGUUAGAUUAGCCUUUCCAAGGCAGGGCCAGGGAACCUGUGUUUUCAGCAUGCUCCCCAGGUGGUUCUCGGGUAGUCUGUGGACUGGUAAAACCUGCUCCAAUGCUCUUUCCUCAAUGAAUAAGGGAUGCCUAUUUUAAGUGGGGCAGACACAGCUUCUGACUUCAAAUUAAUCAAAUGACAGCUAGUAAUUGAUUUGCAUGGCCCGGUUUAUGGGGAGCCCUAAUCUUAGUUUUUUCGUUUCUAGUCCACAGUGUCUACGUAAUGCCUAGCACAUCAUAGGCGCCUAGGAGACACCUGCGCAUGAAUGAACAGUGUCUUCACUGCUUUGGUCCUGCCCUGGUUAGGACCCUUGCCACCUUCACCUCCCCCCAAGUGAGGUGGGAGCUGGAGCCAUGAGAUGAAAGACGGGAAAGCCAUGAAAAACUCAUGAUAAAGAAUGUUGCUUCUUUGGUUAAUAACAGUCGAGUAUCGGGUGUUUUUUUUAUUUGAAAACAUACAUAGAUUUUUUAAAGUAUGUUUUUUGUUAUUAACUUAUAAUUUAAUUACAUGAUAAUCCUCUAUGGCUUGGAGUGUGGUGAACUUCUGUAAAUAUUUCACAUGGGCUCUAAUAAAUGUGAUGCAGAAUUUUAUACAUGUACAUGUUUAUUGGAUCAAGCAUGUGGAUUUUGUCAUUCUAAUUUAUUACGGUUUUCUUUAUCUUUGGACUGGCCUAUACAUAACUAAGAGUGGUGCAUUUAUUUAUUUAUUUUUUAGAGACAGGGCCUUGCUCUGUUGCUCAGGCUGGAGGGCAGUGAAGUAAUCAUGGCUCGCUGCAGCCUCAAACAGCUGGGCUUAAGCGAUCCUCCUGCCUCAGCCUCCCAGAGUAGCUGGGACUAUAGGCAUGCCCCACAAUUCCUGGCCUAUGAAUGGUAUAUUUAAAUCUCUAACUGUGACUGUAGGUUUUUCAACUUGUUUCUAAUUUUUAAAUCAACUUUUGCCCUCUCUGCAUUUAGGUUAUUAAGGUGUUUACUCUUGGGAAUUAUUACAGUCUUGGUGAACUGAGCCUUUUCCCAAUUUGUCCUGAGAAUCUUUCUGUCCUACUCUGUCUUGUCUGAUAGUAAUAAGUUCUACAGCUGUCUUUGGGUAUUUGUUCACUGUAUCUUUUUCUACUCUUUUGUUUUUACUCUUCCUUUGUACUUAUGCUUUAGAUGUAGCCCUUGAA
rnacentral:lncRNA from 10 species